rnacentral:rRNA from 1 species
AUCCUGGCCGUAAACGAUGGGUACUAGGUGUUGGGGGUAUCGACCCCUCCAGUGCCGGAGUUAACGCAAUAAGUACCCCGCCUGGGGAGUACGGCCGCAAGGUUGAAACUCAAAGGAAUUGACGGGGGCCCGCACAAGCGGUGGAGUAUGUGGUUUAAUUCGACGCAACGCGAAGAACCUUACCAGGACUUGACAUUGAGUGAAAGUUCUAGAGAUAGAUCCCUCCCUUCGGGGACACAAAAACAGGUGGUGCAUGGCUGUCGU